rnacentral:rRNA from 1 species
ACGGAAGGCAGCAGUGGGGAAUAUUGCACAAUGGGGGAAACCCUGAUGCAGCGACGCCGCGUGAGUGAAGAAGUAUUUCGGUAUGUAAAGCUCUAUCAGCAGGGAAGAAAAUGACGGUACCUGACUAAGAAGCCCCGGCUAACUACGUGCCAGCAGCCGCGGUAAUACGUAGGGGGCAAGCGUUAUCCGGAUUUACUGGGUGUAAAGGGAGCGUAGACGGCUGUGCAAGUCUGAAGUGAAAUCCGCGGGCUCAACCCGCGAACUGCUUUGGAAACUGUAUAGCUUGAGUGUCGGAGAGGUAAGUGGAAUUCCUAGUGUAGCGGUGAAAUGCGUAGAUAUUAGGAGGAACACCAGUGGCGAAGGCGGCUUACUGGACGAUAACUGACGUUGAGGCUCGAAAGCGUGGGGAGCAAACAGGAUUAGAUACCCUGGUA